AAGCCCCUGCAAUGUUAGUGAUGGCUACCCUUAUUUGAGCCAACAUUCUAUUUGACGGGUAUCCGGGUCGGGCGGCGGUGCGCGAACUUUUCCCACGGGAACUUGCUUGCCUGAAGCCGGUCGCAGGAAGCCCCCUUGGCAACAAGGUUCAAAUAGAUCGGCCACACGGCGGCGCGGGGGUUCU
rnacentral:other from 1 species